AGAGUUUGAUCAUGGCUCAGAUUGAACGCUGGCGGCAGGCCUAACACAUGCAAGUCGAGCGGAAACGAGUUAUCUGAACCUUCGGGGAACGAUAAUGGCGUCGAGCGGCGGACGGGUGAGUAAUGCCUAGGAAAUUGCCCUGAUGUGGGGGAUAGCCAUUGGAAACGAUGGCUAAUACCGCAUAACGCCUACGGGCCAAAGAGGGGGACCUUCGGGCCUCUCGCGUCAGGAUAUGCCUAGGUGGGAUUAGCUAGUUGGUGAGGUAAUGGCUCACCAAGGCGACGAUCCCUAGCUGGUCUGAGAGGAUGAUCAGCCGCACUGGAACUGAGACACGGUCCAGACUCCUACGGGAGGCAGCAGUGGGGAAUAUUGCACAAUGGGCGCAAGCCUGAUGCAGCCAUGCCGCGUGUGUGAAGAAGGCCUUCGGGUUGUAAAGCACUUUCAGUCGUGAGGAAGGUAGUGUAGUUAAUAGCUGCAUUAUUUGACGUUAGCGACAGAAGAAGCACCGGCUAAUUCCGUGCCAGCAGCCGCGGUAAUACGGAGGGUGCGAGCGUUAAUCGGAAUUACUGGGCGUAAAGCGCAUGCAGGUGGUUUGUUAAGUCAGAUGUGAAAGCCCGGGGCUCAACCUCGGAAUAGCAUUUGAAACUGGCAGACUAGAGUACUGUAGAGGGGGGUAGAAUUUCAGGUGUAGCGGUGAAAUGCGUAGAGAUCUGAAGGAAUACCGGUGGCGAAGGCGGCCCCCUGGACAGAUACUGACACUCAGAUGCGAAAGCGUGGGGAGCAAACAGGAUUAGAUACCCUGGUAGUCCACGCCGUAAACGAUGUCUACUUGGAGGUUGUGGCCUUGAGCCGUGGCUUUCGGAGCUAACGCGUUAAGUAGACCGCCUGGGGAGUACGGUCGCAAGAUUAAAACUCAAAUGAAUUGACGGGGGCCCGCACAAGCGGUGGAGCAUGUGGUUUAAUUCGAUGCAACGCGAAGAACCUUACCUACUCUUGACAUCCAGAGAACUUUCCAGAGAUGGAUUGGUGCCUUCGGGAACUCUGAGACAGGUGCUGCAUGGCUGUCGUCAGCUCGUGUUGUGAAAUGUUGGGUUAAGUCCCGCAACGAGCGCAACCCUUAUCCUUGUUUGCCAGCGAGUAAUGUCGGGAACUCCAGGGAGACUGCCGGUGAUAAACCGGAGGAAGGUGGGGACGACGUCAAGUCAUCAUGGCCCUUACGAGUAGGGCUACACACGUGCUACAAUGGCGCAUACAGAGGGCAGCAAGCUAGCGAUAGUGAGCGAAUCCCAAAAAGUGCGUCGUAGUCCGGGUUGGAGUCUGCAACUCGACUCCAUGAAGUCGGAAUCGCUAGUAAUCGUGGAUCAGAAUGCCACGGUGAAUACGUUCCCGGGCCUUGUACACACCGCCC
rnacentral:rRNA from 1 species